rnacentral:tRNA from 1 species
UAGGCUGAAGCUAAACACCCAAGCAUCUAGUUGUUAACUAGAAUCUUGUUAUAUUAAUAACCUCCCUAA